AUGGAGGUGAUGCUGGAGCACGCCAGGAUGGAGGAGCGGGUGCUGUUCCCCGACAUCCAGAGGGCUUCGUUCCCAGGGGUGUGCGAUAAGGUUCAGGAGCAGCACGGGAAGCACCUGCCCAUGAUGAACGGAAUCAAGGAGGAUAUAAAAACGCUUCUGACGCUGGAGCUGGGCAGCGCCCUCUUCUAUGAAGUGCUGGUCAACCUCUCCGUCCGCCUCAAAGCGUUGCAGGUACGUACAUGCUCUCUUGUGCAUUUGGUGGCUGUUUCAUCUAGCAUAUUCUGCUUAUUGCAUUACUGUUCUGUACUCUGCAUUGCUUGUGAAAUCUUGCAAGUUUGUAUUUGA
rnacentral:rRNA from 1 species